UACGGAGGAUGCGAGCGUUAUCCGGAUUUAUUGGGUUUAAAGGGUGCGUAGGCGGAUCGUUAAGUCAGUGGUCAAAUUGAGGGGCUCAACCCCUUCCCGCCAUUGAGACUGGCGAUCUUGAGUGGAAGAGAAGUAUGCGGAAUGCGUGGUGUAGCGGUGAAAUGCAUAGAUAUCACGCAGAACCCCGAUUGCGAAGGCAGCAUGCCGGCUUCCGACUGACGCUGAAGCACGAAAGCGUGGGGAUCGAACAGG
rnacentral:rRNA from 1 species